rnacentral:rRNA from 1 species
AAUGUUGAAAAAUUAGCGGAUGACCUGUGGCUGGGGGUGAAAGGCCAAUCAAACCGGGAGAUAGCUGGUUCUCCCCGAAAGCUAUUUAGGUAGCGCCUCGUGAAUUCAUCUCCGGGGGUAGAGCACUGUUUCGGCUAGGGGGCCAUCCCGGCUUACCAACCCGAUGCAAACUGCGAAUACCGGAGAAUGUUAUCACGGGAGACACACGGCGGGUGCUAACGUCCGUCGUGAAGAGGGAAACAACCCAGACCGCCAGCUAAGGUCCCAAAGUCAUGGUUAAGUGGGAAACGAUGUGGGAAGGCCCAGACAGCCAGGAUGUUGGCUUAGAAGCAGCCAUCAUUUAAAGAAAGCGUAAUAGCUCACUGGUCGAGUCGGCCUGCGCGGAAGAUGUAACGGGGCUAAACCAUGCACCGAAGCUGCGGCAGCGACGCUGAUGCGUUGUUGGGUAGGGGAGCGUUCUGUAAGCCUGCGAAGGUGGCCUGUGAGGGUUGCUGGAGGUAUCAGAAGUGCGAAUGCUGACAUAAGUAACGAUAAAGCGGGUGAAAAGCCCGCUCGCCGGAAGACCAAGGGUUCCUGUCCAACGUUAAUCGGGGCAGGGUGAGUCGACCCCUAAGGCGAGGCCGAAAGGCGUAGUCGAUGGGAAACGGGUUAAUAUUCCCGUACUUGGUGUUACUGCGAAGGGGGGACGGAGAAGGCUAUGUUGGCCGGGCGACGGUUGUCCCGGUUUAAGCGUGUAGGUGUGUGUUCCAGGUAAAUCCGGUU